UACGUAGGGUGCAAGCGUUUGUCCGGAAUUAUUGGGCGUAAAGAGCUCGUAGGCGGUCUGUCGCGUCUGCUGUGAAAACUCAGGGCUUAACCCUGAGCUUGCAGUGGGUACGGGCAGACUAGAGUGCGGUAGGGGAGACUGGAAUUCCUGGGUGUAGUGGUGAAAUGCGCAGAUAUCAGGAGGAACACCGGGUGGCGAAGGCGGGUCGCUGGGUCCGUAACUGGACGCUGAGGAGCGAAAAGCAUGGGGGAGCGAACAGGGAUU
rnacentral:rRNA from 1 species